AUACGUAGGGGGCGAGCGUUGUCUGGAAUGAUUGGGCGUAAAGGGCGCGUAGGCGGCCUGUUAAGUCUGGAGUGAAAGUCCUGUUUUCAAGAUGGGAAUUGCUUUGGAUACUGAUGGGCUUGAGAGCAGGAGAGGUUAUCGGAAUUCCCGGUGUAGCGGUGAAAUGCGUAGAGAUCGGGAGGAACACCAGUGGCGAAGGCGGGUAACUGGACUGCAACUGACGCUGAGGCGCGAAAGUGUGGGGAGCAAACAGGAUUAGAUACCCUGGUAGUCCACACUGUAAACGAUGAAUGCUAGGUGUAAGAGGUAUCGACCCCUUUUGUGCCGGAGUUAACACAAUAAGCAUUCCGCCUGGGGAGUGCGGCCGCAAGGUUGAAACUCAAAUGAAUUGACGGGG
rnacentral:rRNA from 1 species